rnacentral:rRNA from 1 species
UUUAAAGGGUGCACAGGCGGAUUGGUAAGUCAGGGGUGAAAUCCCACAGCUCAACUGUGGAACUGCCCUUGAUACUGUCAGUCUAGAGUAUAGUUGAAGUUGGCGGAAUGUGUCAUGUAGCGGUGAAAUGCUUAGAUAUGACACAGGACACCGAUCGCGAAGGCAGCUAGCUAAGCUAUAACUGACGCUCAUGCACGAAAGCGUGGGGAUCAACAGGAUUAGAUACCCAGGUAGUCCACGCUGUAAACGAUGAUUACUCGAUGUUGGCGAUACACAGUCAGCGUCUAAGGGAAACCAAUAAGUAAUCCACCUGGGGAGUACGAUCGCAAGAUUGAAACUCAAAGGAAUUGACGGGGGCCCGCACAAGCGGAGGAGCAUGUGGUUUAAUUCGAUGAUACGCGAGGAACCUUACCUGGGCUAGAACGUAGAAUGACUAUAGGAGAAAUCUUAUAUCCCUUCGGGGCAGUCUACGAGGUGCUGCAUGGUUGUCGUCAGCUCGUGCCGUGAGGUGUCGGGUUAAGUCCCAUAACGAGCGCAACCCCUACCUUUAGUUGCCAUCAGGUCAAGCUGGGGACUCUAAAGGAACUGCCUACGCAAGUAGUGAGGAAGGCGGGGAUGACGUCAAAUCAGCACGGCCCUUACGUCCAGGGCUACACACGUGCUACAAUGGCCGAUACAGAGGGCAGCUACCUGGUGACAGGAUGCAAAUCUCCAAAGUCGGUCUCAGUUCGGAUCGGAGUCUGCAACCCGACUCCGUGAAGUUGGAUUCGCUAGUAAUCGCGCAU